UACGUAGGGGGCUAGCGUUGUCCGGAAUCAUUGGGCGUAAAGAGCGUGUAGGCGGUCCGGUAAGUCCGCUGUGAAAGUCGGGGGCUCAACCCUGGAAUGCCGGUGGAUACUGUCGGGCUAGAGUGCGGAAGAGGCGAGUGGAAUUCCUGGUGUAGCGGUGAAAUGCGCAGAUAUCAGGAGGAACCCCUAUUGCGAAGGCAGCUCGCUGGGACGUAACUGACGCUGAGACGCGAAAGCGUGGGGAGCAACCAGG
rnacentral:rRNA from 1 species